rnacentral:rRNA from 1 species
ACGGGUGAGUAAUGUAUAGCUUACGUGCCCCAUAGAGGGGGAUAACUACUAGAAAUGGUAGCUAAUACCCCAUACUCCUUAUAGUAGGGAUACUAUAAGGGAAAGGAGUAAUCCGCUAUGGGAUCGGGCUAUAUCGUAUCAGCUAGUUGGUGAGGUAAAGGCUCACCAAGGCGAUGACGCGUAGCUGGUCUGAGAGGAUGAUCAGCCACACUGGAACUGAGACACGGUCCAGACUCCUACGGGAGGCAGCAGUGGGGAAUAUUGCACAAUGGGGGAAACCCUGAUGCAGCAACGCCGCGUGGAGGAUGACGCAUUUCGGUGUGUAAACUCCUUUUAUAUGGGAAGAUGAUGACGGUACCAUAUGAAUAANCACCGGCUAACUCCGUGCCAGCAGC